AUUCCCCUAGUAACGGCGAGUGAAGCGGGAAGAGCUCAAAUUUGAAAUCUGGUAGCCUUCGGUUGCCCGAGUUGUAAUCUAGAGAAGUGUUUUCCGCGUUGGCCCAUGUACAAGUCCCUUGGAACAGGGCGUCAUAGAGGGUGAGAAUCCCGUCCUUGACAUGGACCCCCAAUGCUUUGUGAUACACUUUCAACGAGUCGAGUUGUUUGGGAAUGCAGCUCAAAAUGGGUGGUGAAUUCCAUCUAAAGCUAAAUAUUGGCGAGAGACCGAUAGCGAACAAGUACCGUGAGGGAAAGAUGAAAAGCACUUUGGAAAGAGAGUUAAACAGUACGUGAAAUUGUUGAAAGGGAAACGAUUGAAGUCAGUCAUGCUCUUUGGAUUAAGCCGUUCUGCGGUGUAUUUCAUUGAGCGGGGUCAACAUCAGUUUUGAUCGCUGGAAAAGGGCAGGAGGAAGGUAGCACUCUCGGGUGAACUUAUAGCCUCUUGUCGUAUACAGUGAUUGGGACUGAGGAACGCAGCAUGCCUUUUGGCCGGGAUUCGUCCACGUACAUGCUUAGGAUGUUGACAUAAUGGCUUUAAACGACCCGUCUUGA
rnacentral:rRNA from 1 species